UACGAAGGGGGCUAGCGUUGCUCGGAAUCACUGGGCGUAAAGCGCACGUAGGCGGGUCUUUAAGUCAGGGGUGAAAUCCUGGAGCUCAACUCCAGAACUGCCUUUGAUACUGAAGAUCUUGAGUUCGGGAGAGGUGAGUGGAACUGCGAGUGUAGAGGUGAAAUUCGUAGAUAUUCGCAAGAACACCAGUGGCGAAGGCGGCUCACUGGCCCGGAACUGACGCUGAGGUGCGAAAGCGUGGGGAGCAA
rnacentral:rRNA from 1 species